CAGUCGAACGGUAACAGGAAACAGCUUGCUGUUUCGCUGACGAGUGGCGGACGGGUGAGUAAUGUCUGGGAAACUGCCUGAUGGAGGGGGAUAACUACUGGAAACGGUAGCUAAUACCGCAUAACGUCGCAAGACCAAAGAGGGGGACCUUCGGGCCUCUUGCCAUCGGAUGUGCCCAGAUGGGAUUAGCUAGUAGGUGGGGUAACGGCUCACCUAGGCGACGAUCCCUAGCUGGUCUGAGAGGAUGACCAGCCACACUGGAACUGAGACACGGUCCAGACUCCUACGGGAGGCAGCAGUGGGGAAUAUUGCACAAUGGGCGCAAGCCUGAUGCAGCCAUGCCGCGUGUAUGAAGAAGGCCUUCGGGUUGUAAAGUACUUUCAGCGGGGAUGAAGGGAGUAAAGUUAAUACCUUUGCUCAUUGACGUUACCCGCAGAAGAAGCACCGGCUAACUCCGUGCCAGCAGCCGCGGUAAUACGGAGGGUGCAAGCGUUAAUCGGAAUUACUGGGCGUAAAGCGCACGCAGGCGGUUUGUUAAGUCAGAUGUGAAAUCCCCGGGCUCAACCUGGGAACUGCAUCUGAUACUGGCAAGCUUGAGUCUCGUAGAGGGGGGUAGAAUUCCAGGUGUAGCGGUGAAAUGCGUAGAGAUCUGGAGGAAUACCGGUGGCGAAGGCGGCCCCCUGGACGAAGACUGACGCUCAGGUGCGAAAGCGUGGGGAGCAAACAGGAUUAGA
rnacentral:rRNA from 1 species